rnacentral:rRNA from 1 species
GACGAACGCUGGCGGCGUGCUUAACACAUGCAAGUCGAACGGAAAGGCCUGCCUUCCCUUGUGGAUUGCGGGUACUCGAGUGGCGAACGGGUGAGUAACACGUGAGUGAUCUGCCCCCAACUUGGGUAUAAGCCUGGGAAACUGGGUCUAAUUCCCGAUAGGACUGCAGGGUGGUGCCUGUGGUGGAAAACGAUUUUCUAGUGGUUGGGGAUGAGCUCGCGGCCUAUCAGCUUGUUGGUGGGGUAAUGGCCUACCAAGGCGGCGACGGGUAGCCGGCCUGAGAGGGUGGACGGGCACAUUGGGACUGAGAUACGGCCCAGACUCCUACGGGAGGCAGCAGUGGGGAAUAUUGCACAGUGGGCGGAAGCCUGAUGCAGCGACGCCGCGUGGGGGAUGACGGCCUUCGGGUUGUAAACUCCUUUCGACCGCGAGGAAGCCACCUGGUUGGAAGGGUGGUGACGGUAGUGGUAGAAGAAGCACCGGCUAACUACGUG